GAAGGCUGGCAGUGAUUCCACCACGGAGGAAAAUAGGAGUCUUGGCUGAGUCAGGAAGCUUGUAUACUACAAGGUAGCAUCCAAGAUCAUUCUAAUGUCCAAAGGUCCUGAUGCUAUGGUGAAUGCUGAUGCUACAAUAGAUGCACAAACCCAUACAUGAGUAUUUAUUGUCAGAUGGGAAGCCUUACUGGUCCUUACUUUCUAUGGGGAACUAUUCCAAGGUGAAAUGCCAUAUAUGUGAACAGAUGGACUUCAAGGAAAAACAACAACAACCAACCAACCAAACAAACAACAAAAACACAACCUGAUUUGGGGACAUAUUCUUCAAGAUAUUUGUUUUCUGGAUGCUGUCUGCUUGCUGCUCAUCCUUUAUGUCAUAUGGAACAAAUGUUUUCCUGCAGAAUGCUCUUCAAAAUUGGUGUGUAUCUCUUCUCAAAUGAAAAUUUCUGAAAACCACAAGAUUUCUGUUUGUGAUAGGAUUCUGGGGAGUGCGAUGGAACUGGAAAAGCUGGGUUGAUGGCACUUGUUUCAGAGCCAAGGCACUGACCUACUGUGGUCGUAGUGGCUGCAUGCUCUCUUACUCUGUGGUUAAUGCAUGACAAUUCAAUGCGGCUUAUCUCUCAAGAAGAGCAUCUUCCUUGAGUGCUUCAUUUUAAAAGUGCAGCAAAAAGAGGUAGUGCAAGAAGUGGGUACUCCUGUGUGAGGUGCAUUUUUUUUUUUUUUAGUGUCAGAAGUCUUAACAAAUUUCUGGCAAGUAUUCAAUGGAAAGGUUUGCCAAGAUCACCAGUAUUUUUAUGUGUUUAAUGACACCUUUCAAGGGUAUAUCUAGAAAUUAACCCACAUGUUGACAGUCAUGACCUAAAUGUUUAAUAUGGGCAUCAAUAUCUGAAAGUCUCAUGCAAAAUUCAGCAAAGAAGAUAUCUAUGUUUAAGGGAAUAAAAGAAAUUACAUGAUUAGCA
rnacentral:lncRNA from 1 species